rnacentral:rRNA from 1 species
AAAUUGAAGAGUUUGAUCAUGGCUCAGAUUGAACGCUGGCGGCAGGCCUAACACAUGCAAGUCGAACGGUAACAGGAAGAAGCUUGCUUCUUUGCUGACGAGUGGCGGACGGGUGAGUAAUGUCUGGGAAACUGCCUGGUGGAGGGGGAUAACUACUGGAAACGGUAGCUAAUACCGCAUAACGUCGCAAGACCAAAGAGGGGGACCUU